AUAAGGGAACCAUGGAAAUAACCCUGUUACUAACACAAACUACAGCAGGAGCCCUGCUGCCUCAGGCAAUGUGAAACUACAACCUGGUGUGACAAGUGAUAAGAAGGUUCAGGGGAACAUGCUGACAGCAGACUGGAUGCUGGGAGGUAGAAGCUGAAGGAACUGAUUUCCGCAUUGACUUAUGAGACUGUGCUCAGCGAUAUUUUUCAAGGACCCCUGGUGAUACUUU
rnacentral:lncRNA from 1 species